rnacentral:lncRNA from 1 species
UAAAAAAAUUAAAGUAUAGCAGUUAGUUGAAAUUUUGAAGGUAGGAAGUAGUGAGAGAUAUAGAUGCACAAAAUAGAAGCAAAUAGAUUGUUGAUUUUGUUUCUAAUGAGAAUUAAGUUAUCCUGAUAAGAGGUCAUUCAGGCGGACAUGUAAUAUGAAAUUAGAUGAGGGUAAAUAAAAGGAGAAAUACACAUAUUGAAAAUGUUUAGAACAAUAAAAACAAUACUAAUCCAUAUUCUUUAUUACACUAUACACUAUAAAAUAAGGUUGAAAUUUUAAACCUGGAAUUUGGUUAUUCGGAGCAUGCACAUGCUUGAUUGAUCAUGAAGUAUUUUGGGGUUGGGUUAAUCCUGAUUUGUUUUUUGAUUUUUGCACCCUUAGUUGUCUUAUACAACUACCCUUAUUUUCCAAUGGAAUGUCAAAUAAGAGCACAUAUUAAAAUUUAUUGAAACUCUCUACAUCACAAUAAGCACACAUGUUGAAAUUUAUUGAAACACUCUGGAGAUAUGCCUUAUGAGUACCAAAAUUAAACACGAGUUAUUAUUUGAUAAGAUUUGUGUGGAGGAGAAUAUAGUAAGAAAAUGACAAAAAAAAAAUGUUUGUACAAAGUCGGUCAGCUGAAUGAAAGGAGUUGUACUAGAGUUUUUGGACGGGGCAACUUUAUGGGACACACAUUAACCCUUGGUAACUUCUCUCCAGAUUACAAAGGCUUACACAACUGGAGAGUACGUAGUGGAGGCGUGAACGGGGAAGUCGUCACAAUUGCCUGCUGCAGUGGUGAAUGAUGGCCCCAAAACCAGUGUCAAGCAGUCCAAGGGUUAGGUAAUCAGGGUUGUCACAUUCAGAUGCAAAGAUUAAAGCUUUUUUGCACCUCUAAGGACACAAGUACUUAGAAAAGGAUUUUUUUACAAAUGUAGUUACUGUAUUGAGUCAUUUGCAAUACAUGCACUUGAUAUUUUCGGAUCUGAUAUUUCCCUAAACGAUGAACCCUGUUCAAGCAAAACAAGUUUUGGAAAAUUACAAUUAAGUAACAAAAGAAACCCAUCAUGAAUGAGUAAAAUCUUACUUACUUCUACAAAUUGCCUGUGGGGCUUCAAAUUCUGAAAUUGAUAAGCUUCUCCUGAUCUCUUAACCUCUUUGCCAUCUUGCUAGACAUACGCAAAAAUAGAAAAUUUAUCAAAAAGCAGCUAAAUCACAACCAGAUUUUAAAAAAAAAAACAGGAUAAAAAUAUCGAAUUGAAGGAAAAAUAACUUAAAACUAUUUUUAGGUAUGAGAAAAACGUCGAAUUCAUCACAGUAGGGAAUGAGAAUGGAAAGACAAAGAGGAUACAUAUGAAGUGGUGGGCUACGUGUGUGUUAGUCAUGGGUAUAACCAAAUGGCUGAAAAGCCAAAUAUACCCUUAACUUCUAAUUUAUUGACGUUAAGCAGGCAUGUUGAAACUGUCUCUUCUAAUAUAUCUAAAAAUAAAA